UAGAUGUCGCUGUAGAUUUAGCAGUACAUUACUGUAAAAAUCCACAGUACUAUACUGUAUGUAUACAUUACAGUACAGUACUGCAGUUCAUAAUGCAUUCUGGGUAAAUUUGUUUGAGCGGGAAAAUUUUACAGUAUAUUUUGGUCUUGAUGUAACCUUGCUGUAGCCAUUGCUGUAAUGUGCCAGGUGUACUUGCAAUAAUCAGAGAAAGUGCGCCAGAGUCAAAUCACACAGAGGGAGAGAGAGCACAACUCCUGGCUGCAGCUGAAGGAGGAUGAUUGAUUUCUGGCAGUUCGUCUUACCAUUGCUUGUAAGCUGGAUUGGGUAAGAUGGAUCAUCUUUAAAGGCACCAGGAGUUAAGGCAGAUGUGGAGGCACAACGUGUGAUACCAGACACACACCAAGCACAUUAUGUUCGGACAUUCAAUCAUGACAGGAUCCAGGUGGAUGCUGUCCAUUGAGAAAAGAGUUUGUUCAGCGGUUUCUGGAUAGAAUUAAUUCCAAAGAUGGGAAAAAGUGCACAUCCAGACAAGGAGCAAGCAAAAAGACAAGGAACUUGGUGCAGAGAAAAGCUGUGGCCAUUAACCCCCAUGUGAACAGCUUCAUGCAGUCCCUGAUUGAGUUCGAAUGGACGACUUCAAAGUAAAGGCCACUGUGGUCUGUCUGCCACAGUUUAAUGCAUUUAUUUUUAGUGUUAAAUGAAAUUCAAGUACAAUAUUUAAAACUAUGGGCCAGUGUUCUUUUUACCACAGUGAAAUGUUACCUUUUAGUCGAUGAUGGACUUUAAACUGAAAACUUCAAACUAUGGACCAGUGUUCUAUUUGCCAGAGUUAAAUAUGUUACAGCAGGGGUCUCCAAACUUGUUUAUACUUGUUGAUUUUAUUUUAUGU